rnacentral:rRNA from 1 species
CCAGACUCCUACGGGAGGCAGCAGUAGGGAAUCUUCGGCAAUGGACGGAAGUCUGACCGAGCAACGCCGCGUGAGUGAAGAAGGUUUUCGGAUCGUAAAGCUCUGUUGUAAGAGAAGAACGAGUGUGAGAGUGGAAAGUUCACACUGUGACGGUAUCUUACCAGAAAGGGACGGCUAACUACGUGCCAGCAGCCGCGGUAAUACGUAGGUCCCGAGCGUUGUCCGGAUUUAUUGGGCGUAAAGCGAGCGCAGGCGGUUAGAUAAGUCUGAAGUUAAAGGCUGUGGCUUAACCAUAGUACGCUUUGGAAACUGUUUAACUUGAGUGCAAGAGGGGAGAGUGGAAUUCCAUGUGUAGCGGUGAAAUGCGUAGAUAUAUGGAGGAACACCGGUGGCGAAAGCGGCUCUCUGGCUUGUAACUGACGCUGAGGCUCGAAAGCGUGGGGAGCAAACAGGAUUAGAUACCCUGGUAGUCCACGCCGUAAACGAUGAGUGCUAGGUGUUAGAUCCUUUCCGGGGUUUAGUGCCGCAGCUAACGCAUUAAGCACUCCGCCUGGGGAGUACGACCGCAAGGUUGAAACUCAAAGGAAUUGACGGGGCCCGCACAAG